GGCUCUUCUCACACAGGUAGAUCUCCAUUUUCCUGAUCAUCUUAACAGCCCUUUCUUGCCUUCCCUCCAGUUUUGCAUUUCUCUCAGGGAUAUGUGACCAUACGGAACCCAUUAAUUGCUACAAGGGACUGUGUUACCUACGCCAGGAUUACUAACAUUUUGCUACUGUUAAAAACCUUUCUCAUCAUGUCGUCAAAUCAGAAUUGCCUGCCUUGCUGCCAAAUGAUACUGUGAGCAACUUUUGUAUGGGAUAUUUUAAACCUUCAAGAAGUUCAAUACAAAAACUGAAUGUAACUGAUGAAGGAGACAUUCUUCCCACAUGAUUUUGGUUGUCCAAAAACUGUAUGAAGUUUAAGCCUUAAGGUAUAUAUACUCCUUUUCUAGUCUAUGGACUAUGAGAGAAAUAUCCAAAGGGCAGUUCACUGGUACAAUAUGUGAAAUGAAAUGAAGAACUAGUCAAAUACACACAUGCACCAUGCAGCCACAGCCUCAAAAAUGUCAGACGUUCAGAACAAGCAGAAAAGAUCACAUCCAGCUCCACUCCAAGAGCAACAAGUAUGCCCUGUUUGACCAGACAAUUAUAGGACCCCAGCUGGAGGCUUCGGUCAAUGGAGGUUGGACAUACAUACAUCUUUCCCUGCAGGUGCCUAAACUGCCAGGUGAAGGAGAAGGGUAGGCUGAGGGAGGAGACACCAAGAACAAAUUAAAAUGAACUCUAGCAUGGGCUAUGUGAUAGAUGUAAUACAUGCUGAUCUUUAGCCAUCACUCUAA